GGAGAAGGAAGACGAGGACAAUGGCACGGAGGAAAGAAGGGAGAUAAAGAGGAAGGCACCCCGGCACCUAGGCAUCUGCAAUCACUACGAUCUACUACACCUGCACCAGUCCACACACCUGGGGCUGAUUGCCACUCUCCCUAUAUUAGGGAGAGGUCUGCUUUCAGUCCUCGCCAGAUAAUUGUUUCAGCCACACGCCGUUCUCCCUCCACCGCCAGCUACUUCAUUUUUCCCUCCUUACCUGGAUCUUCUGUUUGGACUCCCCGUGCCGACCACUGCCUGCUCUCCGUGUCUCUGAACCCCAGCCUGUUCCCGACUAUUCUCGCCUGCCGUUUUGUACUUCUGCUGAGCUGCAACCUACCCAUACGCAUUCCAAUAACCUCU